CUCUGUCUGAAAAGCCACAUAUCUCUGUUUCUCCAGGACUGGUCUCUGGUGCCUUAUUUAGUUCAUUUGAUGAGGUCAUGUUUUCCUAGAUGUGGCGUUCAUGCUUGUAGAUGUUCUUUGGUGUCUGUGCGUUGUAGAGCUAGGCAUUUAUUGUAGUCUUCGUAGUCUUGGCUUGUUUGUGCUUGUUCUUUUUGUGAAGACUUUUUUGAUAUUCAAAGGCAUUUGGCCCCCAAACCCAAAAAUGUUGUGGUUCUUGUCCAGUCAUGGAGGUACCACUUUGGUGGUUUUGGAUAAGAUCAAGAAGAAUUCUGCAUGGAUUGCCAUGCAGAGACUCUUGUUCUCUUCUCCCAAACAAAUGCAGUCUCUCUCUCUGGUUAGCCUCCUGGAACUGGGAGUAGGGAAACAGAAGCACCCCUGUGACCACCACCAUGGGGACUGCACUGGUUCAGACCUGAGGCCAGCACACUACUGAGUCUCACUCAAGGCCUGCCGUAACCACAACCUGGCUACCAUGUGAGUUCACCAAGAUCCUAGGGCUCUACAAUCAGCAGGUGGCAAAGUCAGCCAGGUUUCUGUCCCUCCCUUCAGGGCAGUGAGUUUCCCUAGGCCCCAGGUGAGUCCAGAGAUGUUGUCUGGGAGCCAGGGAUUGAAGUAAAAAAACCUUAGAAAUUUACCUGAUGUUCUGUUCUACUGAAGCUAAGCUGGCACUCAAACCACAAGAAAAAGUCCUUCCCACUCUUCCCUCCCCAUUCCUAGCCAGAGGAGCCUCUCCCUGUGGCUACCACCACCACAAUGGCCCGCAUGGGGUUUUGUCAGGCCACUGCUGAUGUUCACUUAAAGUCCAAAGACUCUUCAUUCAGCUUCUGAUGAAUGCUGCCAGGUCUGGGACUUACCCUUUGAGACAGUUGGUUCUGCUCUGGUCCAGGGCAGGUGCAGAAAUGCUGACCAAGAGCCUUGACCUGGACCUGGGGACCCCAAGAGCCUGCUCGGUGUUCUACCUCACUAUGGCCAAGCUUUAACCUUUCCCCUU